UCAAGCGAUAGGUAAGGGCAUUUGGUGAAUGCCUUGGCAAUCAGAGGCGAAGAAGGACGUGGUACACUGCGAAAAGUUACGGGGAGUUGUGAACAAGCAUUGAUCCGUAAAUAUCCGAAUGGGGAAACCCACAGAGCAAUCUGUACUGUAUGAUGAAUAAAUAGUCAUGCAGGGCGAACGCAGGGAACUGAAACAUCUAAGUACCUGUAGGAAAGGAAAUCAACCGAGACUCCGAAAGUAGUGGCGAGCGAAAUCGGACCAGCCGAUGGAUAGUCAGUAAAGAAUCAGAAUUACCUGGAAAGGUAAGCCGGAGAGGGUGACAGCCCCGUACGAGUAGAAAAGCUGACUGUUCUUGAGUAAGGCGGAGCACGAGAAAUUCUGUCUGAAAAUGGGGAGACCACUCUCCAAGGCUAAGUACUACUGAUUGACCGAUAGUGAACAAGUACCGUGAGGGAAAGGUGAAAAGCACCCCUAUAAGGGGAGUGAAAGAGAACCUGAAACCGAAUGCUUACAAGCAGUCGGAGGGUCUUUAAGGCCUGACGGCGUACCUUUUGUAUAAUGGGUCAGCGACUUAAUUUAUGUAGCAAGCUUAAGCCGAUAGGUGUAGGCGUAGAGAAAUCGAGUGUUAACAGCGCGUUAAGUUACAUGAAUUAGACCCGAAACCGAGUGAUCUAGCCAUGAUCAGGUUGAAGGUUGGGUAACACCAACUGGAGGACCGAACCCACUCCCGUUGAAAAGGUAGGGGAUGAAUUGUGGCUAGGGGUGAAAGGCCAAUCAAACUCGGAAAUAGCUGGUUCUCCGCGAAAACUAUUUAGGUAGUGCGGUGAGCGGACACCUUGAGGGGUAGAGCACUGGAAGAGCUAAGGGGGAGCGAUCCUUACUAAACUUUACCAAACUCCGAAUACUCAAGAGUGAUACUCACCAGACAGACAUUAGGUGCUAAGGUCUAGUGUCGAGAGGGAAAGAGCCCAGACCGCCAAUUAAGGUCCCAAAAUUAUGGCUAAGUGGUAAAGGAAGUGAAACGUCCAAAACAGUCAGGAGGUUGGCUUAGAAGCAGCCAUCCUUUAAAGAAAGCGUAAUAGCUCACUGAUCUAAACAAGACGUCUUGCGCCGAAGAUGUAACGGGGCUAAAGCCAUAUACCGAAGUUGCGGAUUUACACGUUAAAGUGUAAGUGGUAGCGGAGCGUUCUGUAAGCCUGCGAAGGUGUACCGUAAGGUAUGCUGGAGGUAUCAGAAGUGAGAAUGCUGACAUGAGUAGCGAAAAGAAGAGUGAGAGACUCUUCCGCUGAAAGUCCAAGGUUUCCUGCGUAAAGCUAAUCUGCGCAGGGUUAGUCGGUCCCUAAGGCGAGGCAGAGAUGCGUAGUCGAUGGCAAUCAGGUUAAUAUUCCUGAACCGGCCCGGAAGUGACGGAUUGAGUAAAUUGUAAGUUCUUAUUGGAUUGAACUUGCAGUGAAUCAGUCCCAGGAAAUAGCCCGGGCUAAGACCGUACCCGAAACCGACACAGGUGGACAGGUAGAGAAUACCAAAGCGCUUGAGAGAACUAUGUUGAAGGAACUAGGCAAAAUACUUGCGUAACUUCGGGAUAAGCAAGCCCCAUUUUAAGGCAACUUAAGGUGGGGGGCACAUACUAGGGGGUAGCGACUGUUUACUAAAAACACAGGGCUCUGCUAAAUUGAAAGAUGAAGUAUAGGGUCUGACGCCUGCCCGGUGCUGGAAGGUUAAGGAGAGAUGUGCAAGCAUUGAACUGAAGCCCCAGUAAACGGCGGCCGUAACUAUAACGGUCCUAAGGUAGCGAAAUUCCUUGUCGGGU
rnacentral:rRNA from 1 species